rnacentral:tRNA from 1 species
GACUGCGCCCGGAGAAGUCUUGGGUCGGCGCCGAAGGACGCGGGUUCGAUUCCCGCCACCUCCACCA